rnacentral:lncRNA from 1 species
AGCAUAGAAAGGAAGUGAAAAGUUAAUUAGAGCUUGACAACUCACGGAGACGGUGAGGAUGCGCUGUCUUCACAGUUUUCUCGACCACGUUGAAAGUCUACCUGCGCGAAACUGAAGGGUUCACCUUCCCACAGCGUAUCUCAGAUCAUCGACACUUCUAUUGUGCAGCGAGGAGCAAAAGAAUGCUCCUGGCACAAGAUGUCUGAUUUACAGGCGAGCAGUGGAACCUUAGAUAUUCUCUGCUACGACUCAACUCACCACAAAAAAAAACAGAGAAGCAAGUUUUUAUGAGGAACAGAACAUUUUCUCAGUACUGUUUCAAUAAAUACUGACUUUUGAAAAAAAUCACCUUCCAACAACCAUAUCUGAGAGCGGAAUUUGUUAGUCUACCCAAGAGGGAAACAGACCCAGGAUUAAGCGAUGAAAAGUACAUAGAGAAAGAGAAACACAAGGAAGGAGGAAUAGGAACAAAUACAAGAGAUUUAAGCGCUCUUUCAUUCCUCUCCACUCAUCCUUGGACCAGAC